rnacentral:rRNA from 1 species
GAUGAACGCUGGCGGCGUGCCUAACACAUGCAAGUCGAACGGAGUCCAGCCUUAGAGACCUUCGGGUCAAAGAGGGGAAGACUGAGUGGCGGACGGGUGAGUAACACGUGGGCAACCUGGCUCAUAGAGGGGGAUAACAGAGAGAAAUUUCUGCUAAUACCGCAUAAGCACACACUGCCGCAUGGCAGAGUGUGAAAAGAGAAUCGCUAUGAGAUGGACCCGCGUCUGAUUAGCCAGCUGGCAGGGUAAGAGCCUACCAAAGCGACGAUCAGUAGCCGAUUUGAGAGGAUGAACGGCCACAUUGGGACUGAGACACGGCCCAAACUCCUACGGGAGGCAGCAGUGGGGGAUAUUGCACAAUGGGGGGAACCCUGAUGCAGCGACGCCGCGUGAGUGAAGAAGUAUUUCGGUAUGUAAAGCUCUAUCAGCAGGGAAGAUAAUGACAGUACCUGAAUAAGAAGCCCCGGCUAACUACGUG